CGUUGACGAAACACAACAGGUGACACAUUAAAAUCAAAAAGAUGAAAAAAUUCGUUGAACCGCAUGCAGACUAUUCGAAAAGGUGUGUCCUGGAAGCUGUUCUUUGCACAUCUGAUUUCUUCAUUUUUUUCGUUACUACAAGCAGAAGCAGAAUAGUUUUUCUCUAAAAUGUAAUGAAGGCAGCCCACCCGAAAGCAAAACAGCAAGCGUACUUAUAAACAAGUACACUCUUAUGAAGUAAAGAGGAUGUAAUGAAAACUCGUGAAGAUAAUCAAAAGUCCGGAAAACGACGUAGGAAAUUAUACCGUGCCGCAUCGCCCCUUAUGGAACAUGAUGUGAUUUUGAAAUACUUCAUUUUUGACUGCUGCGUUGAUCUUUCAGUGUUAGAUUGUUCCUCAAUCGAAAGGCGUGCUACUAUCGACACAGAAAUCAGAACAACUAAAAAAUGAUGGUUCGAAAAUAAGCUUAUAUUAUUC